UCUCCAUACACUGUUGGGUCACGAUGAAUUUGAGGGAUGACGCAAACAAUUGCCUGGCCCUUUUUAAUCUCAUACUUCCCCUUGCCAAGGUAAAUAGGGUCCUCCUGACUGUCUGACCGGGGCUGC
rnacentral:snoRNA from 1 species